CCUACGGGAGUCAGCAGUGAGGAAUAUUGGUCAAUGGUCGGGAGACUGAACCAGCCAAGCCGCGUGAGGGAUGAAGGUACAGAGUAUCGUAAACCUCUUUUGUCAGGGAACAAAGGCGGGGACGCGUCCCCGGAUGAGUGUACCUGAAGAAAAAGCAUCGGCUAACUCCGUGCCAGCCGCCGCGGUAAUACGGAGGAUGCGAGCGUUAUCCGGAUUUAUUGGGUUUAAAGGGUGCGCAGGCGGUCUGUUAAGUCAGCGGUCAAAGCCCGGGGCUCAACCCCGGACAGCCGUUGAAACUGGCAGGCUCGAGUUGGAGAGAAGUAUGCGGAAUGCGCGGUGUAGCGGUGAAAUGCAUAGAUAUCGCGCAGAACUCCGAUUGCGAAGGCAGCAUGCCGGCUCCACACUGACGCUGAGGCACGAAAGCGUGGGUAUCGAACAGGAUUAGAUACCCGAGUAGUC
rnacentral:rRNA from 1 species